rnacentral:rRNA from 1 species
UACGUAGGGUGCAAGCGUUGUCCGGAAUUAUUGGGCGUAAAGAGCGCGUAGGCGGUUCGUCGCGUCGGCUGUGAAAUCCCGGAGCUCAACUCCGGGUCUGCAGUCGAUACGGGCGGACUUGAGUUCGGCAGGGGAGACUGGAAUUCCUGGUGUAGCGGUGAAAUGCGCAGAUAUCAGGAGGAACACCGGUGGCGAAGGCGGGUCUCUGGGCCGAUACUGACGCUGAGGAGCGAAAGCGUGGGGAGCGAACAGG